AAACACAAACAAAAAAUAUGAAAAUCAUCAUACGACAAAAACUCUUCUCUGAGAAUUUUCAAAGAAGUUUUUCUUUCCAACCAUACAACUCCAGGUGAAUCAAUUUAUAUAUAGGUUUACAUUUCUAAAAAAUCAUAUCGAUAAGUUCAUCUUCUAAACCCUUUCUUCUUCUUCUUUUUCUCAUUGUGUGUUUAUUGGUUUUCAUACUUAAGAAAUUCUUACAGUGAAGAAGGACAAAGAUACUUCAAAGCAAGAGUUUUUUUUGAGGAAGAAGAUUUGAAGUUUUUUUAGAGGAAGAACUGAAAUUUCUCAGAAGAAAGAACAAUUAACAAAGGAAGAAGCAUGGAGUAAAGGAAGAUUGAU
rnacentral:lncRNA from 1 species